UACAGAGGUCUCAAGCGUUGUUCGGAUUCAUUGGGCGUAAAGGGUGCGUAGGCGGCGCGGUAAGUCGGGUGUGAAAUCUCGGGGCUUAACUCCGAAACUGCAUUCGAUACUACCGUGCUUGAGGACUGGAGAGGCGAGUGGAAUUCCCGGUGUAGUGGUGAAAUGCGUAGAUAUCAAGAGGAACACCUGCGGCGAAGGCGGGUUGCUGGGCCGACACUGACGCUGAUGCGCGAAAGCCAGGGGAGCGAACGGG
rnacentral:rRNA from 1 species